UGGUGGGGUGACUUGUCUGCUUAAUUGCGAUAACGAACGAGACCUUAACCUGCUAAAUAGCCCGCAUUGCUCUGGCAGUGCGCUGGCUUCUUAGAGGGACUUUCGGCUCAAGCCGAAGGAAGUUUGAGGCAAUAACA
rnacentral:rRNA from 1 species